CUUUAAACUGAGAUCAUAUUAAAACCACCCCAUUUGCCUAAAGAUUGUUUCAAUUUACCAAUAAUUAAUAUUGUGUUUUAUAAUGUCUGGACAACAAACUAGAACAAGUAUACUACUUUUGAAGAGAAGUUAAAGUUUAAAGUUAUCUUGAAUCUCUUUAGAAACAAAAAUAUUCCAGAUAAUCACCCUUCUGGUAUGAAACUUACAUGUUAUACAGCGUGUCAGAAAAGACAGAAAGUGAAGAAAAAAAAUGAGUGAUAAUUCGAGUGCGAGUUCUAGCAGUGACCAGGGCCCUCCAGCAGGCAGCACACCAUGGUGUCCUUCCUCAAACAUGUCCUGAAGCAGAUCAUAAUGGCUGACAAGUCCAUGCAGCUGCUGAAGAACCUGCAAUGUGCAGAAAGCACCACCCACAGGCCGCAGCCAGAGACUUUAUAUUGUGGGUUCAGAAGGGAGACUGCUGUUGCUAACCCCUGCUGAGCAUCAUUUCUGGUGUGGCAGAGUUGACAAGCCUCCUGCUUCUGACUGCUCCUGACUCAUCUCUGCAGAGCAGACACUCUGCACUUCUUUAACAUCACUGAAGAAUGUUCUGGUAAGUAAAUUUUUCAGGAAUGCAAGCUUCCUGCUCAGAACACUCAAAUUUAGAAAUCUGGAACUAUUUCGCCCAUUAAUCUUUUAUGUUUUUGAGAUGGAGUCUUUCUCUUGUCACCCAGGCUGGAGUCCAGUGGCAAUCUCGACUCACUGCAACCUCCACCUCCAGGGUUCAACCAAUUUUCUUGUGCUAGCCUCCUGAGUAGCUGGGAUUACAGGUGCCUGCCACCACACCCAGCUAUAUUUUAUGUUUGCAGUAAAGAUAGAGUUUCACCGUGUUGGUCAGGCUGGUUUUAAAUUCCUGACCUCAGGUGAUCUGCCUGCCUUGGCCUCCCAAAAUGCUUGGUCUGUGCUAUGGUCAGGUCCAAAACAGGGCCAAGCCAAGUCUAGAGUGCUGGCCAGGGUAGGGUGAAACCUAGGGUAGGGCCAAGGCAGGGGCCAGGGCAGGGUGGUACCAAGAUGAAGGCAAGGACAGAGAAUGGCCAGGGUAGGGACAGAGCAAGGGCAAGAAUAGUGCAGGGUCAUGGCAUGGACAGGAUCCAGGGUCAGGGUCAGAACCAUAGCAUCACCAGCAACUGGACUGUGGCUAGGACAGUGACAGAGCCAGAGUAAGGGCCAGAGCAGUGCAAGG
rnacentral:lncRNA from 1 species